rnacentral:rRNA from 1 species
AUUCCGAAUGAUAGUUUCAUCAGUACUGAAGACUGGUGGCUGACUGCGCGAAAGGAGGUUCCCAAGAACGAUCGAUGCAAUUUUGACACCAUUACCAUACUGUUGCACUGGAGGAUUUGGAAGGAACGGAAUGCCAGAAUUUUUGAGCAUGUGGCGUGUAACAUUGACAGGUUGCUGGAUCUAAUGAGAGAUGAUAUUAGGGCUCGGAGAGCUGCUGGCUGUGUUAGCGAUCUCUUUUAG